rnacentral:lncRNA from 1 species
UGUAUAAGGGUUCGUGGACGAAAUUGGCCCUCUUCAUGGACCUAGGCGAUUACGUUUCUGUCGUGUAACGCGAGGGACAACACGCGAAAAGUGGUUUGCACGUUGAUCUGUGGGAUUGACGACAAUGUCGUCGAGAAGGCGACGUUCUACGUUUAUUUAAAAAUCGUCGAUGUAUACUCUCGUCGCUGACCUGGAGACCGGCGACAGGAGCCAUGCCGCAGCACAACCCCUGCCUGAAGAGGCUGAUGACAAUGAUAGCGACGAAUCGUCAUCGUCUUGUCAGCUAGGGAACGUCGACAGCAAAAAGUGGAAGAUUAUAAGUAAUCUUAGUAGCAGUAAUCCUAGUAACAAUAGUGUUUGAAUAACAAGGUUCAUAAAUUUCGGUAAAUGUAUCUCUGGUCGAGUAUUAACAAGAAGAAAAAUAAAGAUCUUUUGUUAAGUAAAAUUAUUUUUAAUGAAAGAAUUAAAUUUUUUCUUGCGAGACGUGAAAGAUGGACUUUGAUUUAGUGAACAAAGAUAUUAUCUAUAGUUCUUUAAUUACAUAUCUGUCUUGAAACAAAGAUGUAUAUAUGUUACGUUGGUUUUCCAAAAUCUUCUGUCUUCCAAACUUCUUGUAAGAUCACUAAAAACAGUCGACUAUUCCUUCUACGUAAAUUAAUGUA